CCUACGGGCGGCAGCAGUGGGGAAUAUUGCACAAUGGGGGAAACCCUGAUGCAGCGACGCCGCGUGAGUGAAGAAGUAUUUCGGUACGUAAAGCUCUAUCAGCAGGGAAGAAAAUGACGGUACCUGACUAAGAAGCCCCGGCUAACUACGUGCCAGCAGCCGCGGUAAUACGUAGGGGGCAAGCGUUUUCCGGAUUUACUGGGUGUAAAGGGAGCGUAGACGGCAGCGCAAGUCUGGAGUGAAAUCCCAUGGCUUAACCAUGGAACUGCUUUGGAAACUGUGCAGCUAGAGUGCAGGAGAGGUAAGCGGAAUUCCUAGUGUAGCGGUGAAAUGCGUAGAUAUUAGGAGGAACACCAGUGGCGAAGGCGGCUUACUGGACUGUAACUGACGUUGAGGCUCGAAAGCGUGGGGAGCAAACAGGAUUAGAUACCCGAGUAGU
rnacentral:rRNA from 1 species